rnacentral:rRNA from 1 species
GAUGAACGCUAGCUACAGGCUUAACACAUGCAAGUCGAGGGACCGGCGCACGGGUGAGUAACACGUACCAACCCUCCCCUUACCCCGGGAAUGCCUUUUCAAAGAAAGAUUAAUACCCCAAAUAAAGGAUGGGGAUGCUGUACAUUUGGUUGUUGGUGAGGUAACGGGUAACCAAGACUUCGUUGGAUAGGGGUUCUGGGAGGAAGGUCCCCGACAUUGAAACUGAGACACGGUCCAAACUCCUACUGGAGGCAGCAGUGAGGAAUAUUGGUCAAUGGGCGCUAGCCUGAACCAGCCAAGUAGCGUGAAGGAUGAAGGCUUAGGGGUCGUAAACUACUUUUAUAUAAGAAUAUGUAUUAUAUGAAUAAGGAUCGGCUAACUCCGUGCCAGCCGCCGCGGUAAUUC